AGCAGCCGCGGUAAUUCCAGCUCCAAUAGCGUAUAUUAAAGUUGUUGCAGUUAAAAAGCUCGUAGUUGAAUUUCGGGAUUGACGUGACGGUCAUGCCUUAAGGGGUAUGAACUGUUACUGUUGAUUUCUCACCUUCUGGAGAAACUUGAUGUCCUUUAUUGGGUGUCUUGCGGAUCCAGGACCUUUACCUUGAAAAAUUAGAGUGUUUAAAGCAGGCAUUUUUGCUCGAAUACAUUAGCAUGGAAUAAUAGAAUAGGACGGCAUGGUUCUAUUUUGUUGGUUUCUAGGAUCACCGUAAUGAUUAAUAGGGAUAGUUGGGGGCAUUAGUAUUCAAUUGUCAGAGGUGAAAUUCUUGGAUUUAUUGAAGACUAACUACUGCGAAAGCAUUUGCCAAGGAUGUUUUCAUUAAUCAAGAACGAAAGUUAGGGGAUCGAAGACGAUCAGAUACCGUCGUAGUCUUAACCAUAAACUAUGCCGACUAGGAAU
rnacentral:rRNA from 1 species